rnacentral:rRNA from 1 species
CCUGAGAAACCCAAAAGUACGAAUGGGGAGAUUCAUCGUCAGCAUAUUUGGUAUAUGUAUGAGUUAUGAUAUGAGUCAUCCUCGUGAUAAUACUUGUACAUACUUAUAUUAUUUUUGCUGAAUUUUGUCGGCGUGCACUUCUCCCCUAGUAGGACGUCGCGACCCGUUAAGUGUCGGUCUAUGACCCGAAUGGUAGUCUUGAAUUUUUUUUCGAAAUUUAAGACCAUUGGUGAUCUGAUCGGCUGCUCAGCGGUAUUCGCACGGUAUUGAGUCGCAAUUAUUUGCGUUAGGCUCGUUGCAAGCGCGGCCAUUCUUCUGGUAGUGCGGAUUUAUGCCGUCACUGGAAAUGGCCAGCUGUUGGCUAACGAUGUUCUUUAACUGAUUCUUUACUACCGGUCAGCGACGCUACUGCUUUGGGUACUUUCAGGACCCGUCUUGAAACACGGACCAAGGAGUCUAACAUGUGCGCGAGUCAUUGGGAUUUAUUUUUUAAAUUAAACCUAAAGGCGCAAUGAAAGUAAAGAUCAUCCUUGCGGUGAUUGAGGGAAGAUGAGUUGCAUUAAGGUGACAGCUCCGCACUCCCGGGGCGUCUCGUUCUCAUUUAUGAGAAGAGGCGCACCCAG